rnacentral:rRNA from 1 species
GCAGCAUCAUCAAAGCUUGCUUUGAUGGAUGGCGACCGGCGCACGGGUGAGUAACACGUAUCCAUCCUGCCGACAACACUGGGAUAGCCUUUCGAAAGAAAGAUUAAUACCGGAUGGCAUAGUUUUCCCGCAUGGGAUAAUUAUUAAAGAAUUUCGGUUGUCGAUGGGGAUGCGUUCCAUUAGGCAGUUGGCGGGGUAACGGCCCACCAAACCUACGAUGGAUAGGGGUUCUGAGAGGAAGGUCCCCCACAUUGGAACUGAAACACGGUCCAAACUCCUACGGGAGGCACCUUUUAUGAAUAUUGGUCAAUGGACGAGAGUCUGAACCAGCCAAAUAGUGUGAAGGAUGACUGCCCCUAUGGGUGUAAAACUUCUUUUAAACGGGGAAUAAAGUGAGCCACGUGUGGCUUUUUGUAUGUACCGUAUGAAUAAGGACCGGCUAACUUCCGUGCCAGCAGCCGCGGUAAUUCGGAGGAUCCGAGCGUUAUCCGGAUUUAUGGGGUUUAAAGGGAGCGUAGGCGGGUUGUUAAGUCAGUUGUGAAAGUNUGCGGCUCAACCGUAAAAUUGCAGUUGAUACUGGCGACCUUGAGUGCAACAGAGGUAGGCGGAAUUCGUGGUGUAGCGGUGAAAUGCUUAGAUAUCACGAAGAACUCCGAUUGCGAAGGCAGCUUACUGGAUUGUAACUGACGCUGAUGCUCGAAAGUGUGGGUAUCAAACAGGAUUAGAUACCCUGGUAGUCCACACAGUAAACGAUGAAUACUCGCUGUUGGCGAUAUACUGUCAGCGGCCAAGCGAAAGCAUUAAGUAUUCCACCUGGGGAGUACGCCGGCAACGGUGAAACUCAAAGGAAUUGACGGGGGCCCGCACAAGCGGAGGAACAUGUGGUUUAAUUCGAUGAUACGCGAGGAACCUUACCCGGGCUUAAAUUGCAACUGACGGAACCGGAAACGGUUCUUUCUUCGGACAGUUGUGAAGGUGCUGCAUGGUUGUCGUCAGCUCGUGCCGUGAGGUGUCGGCUUAAGUGCCAUAACGAGCGCAACCCUUAUCGAUAGUUACUAGCAGGUCAUGCUGAGGACUCUAUCGAGACUGCCGUCGUAAGAUGUGAGGAAGGUGGGGAUGACGUCAAAUCAGCACGGCCCUUACGUCCGGGGCUACACACGUGUUACAAUGGGGGGUACAGAAGGCAGCUACACGGCGACGUGGUGCUAAUCCCAAAAGCCUCUCUCAGUUCGGAUUGGAGUCUGCAACCCGACUCCAUGAAGCUGGAUUCAAGAGUAAUCGCGCGUCAGCCACGGCGCGGUGAA